GAUGAACGCUAGCGGCAGGCCUAACACAUGCAAGUCGAGGGAGAAGCCCUUUCGGGGGCAGAAACCGGCGCACGGGUGCGUAACGCGUAUGCAACCUACCUUUCACAGGGGGAUAGCCCGAAGAAAUUUGGAUUAAUACCCCAUAAUAUUAUUGGAUGGCAUCAUUUGAUAAUUAAAACUGCGGUGGUGAAAGAUGGGCAUGCGUCCUAUUAGCUAGUUGGAGUGGUAACGGCACCCCAAGGCUACGAUAGGUAGGGGUCCUGAGAGGGAGAUCCCCCACACUGGUACUGAGACAGGGACCAGACUCCUACGGGAGGCAGCAGUGAGGAAUAUUGGUCAAUGGUCGGAAGACUGAACCAGCCAUGCCGCGUGCAGGAAGAAUGCCUUAUGGGUUGUAAACUGCUUUUAUAUGGGAAGAAUAAGGUGUACGUGUACAUUGAUGACG
rnacentral:rRNA from 1 species